rnacentral:tRNA from 1 species
CAAAAUAUAGCUUAAAAAANGCACUUCGCUUACACCGAAUAGAUGUCUAUUAAACCCAGACUAUUUUGA